GAGAGCAUGAAUAGGGGAAGGACAGAGAAAUUGAGGAGACAGAAGAUCUGAAGCUGGCUCUGUGCUGAUAAGUGGCUAGUACUAUGUGGGGCUUGAACUCACUAACUGUGAGAUCAUGACCUGAGCCAAAGUCUGGCACUCAGUUGAUUGAGCCAUCCAGGCGCCCUAACCUAGCCUUGAGUAUUUUAACUCAACCAGCCAUUCAGCAGUGCUCAAAAUAUUUUUCUCUCCCUAAUCAGCUCUGUCUCCCAUUUUGCGCGCACGCGCGUGUAUGCGUGUGUGUGUGUGUGUGUGUGUGUGUGUGAGAGAGAGAGAGAGAGAGAGAGAGAGAGAGAGAGAGACCUAGCACUUAGUCAUCAGGUGCUUAGAAAGGUAAGCCUGUUUUCACUAGAAUUUAGCUACCGAGUUUCCAUUUGACAGUUUCCAGACCAUUUGUUUCUAUGUUGGUGAUAUCAACACAUUGAAGGAAUUAUUAUUUUCACUUGGAAAAAACUCUCAAGUUUCAUUUCAGUAUUGAGAUGAGCCCAGGUUUUGGAGGAAAAGGUACCAGAUCAUUUUUUUCCUGAUGACUAGGGACUAUCCCCUCCUUAUACCUUGGUGUGUGGAGCUCAAAGGCUGCUGGGAAAGAGGGUAGGUGAGUUUUCACAAUAAACCAAGAGGACUGUGGGAAGAAAAGGAUUAAGACCUUGACACAAUUUUUUGAGGGAGGUGGGGGUGGUGGAGACUGAAUGUUGGAAUAUUCUGAGCACAGUAAACCCUUAGAGACCAGCAGAUGGGAAAGGCCACCCAGCAAAAUCACCUAGACCCAAAGAGAAACUAACUAUGAAAUCAGGGCUUAGGUUAUCCUACAAAAGAGCUAGUUGUGGGCAUGACGUGAAGUCGGUAGAGAGACACCCUCUGCCCACUCAACCCUGGAACUUUGGUCUAAGCUUAUGCAUGUAUUCCACACCACAGAUCAGAGAACACACGAUUCGAUCUGCCAGUGAAGCAGAUUGAAUGUUAAGACUUGUAAGGGAGCUUUUAGAAGAAAUUGCUCUCUUGCUGGUGGUGGUGAGAUACCGUGAGCCUGAAGGUAAAAAGGUACGUGAUCAGCCAGCCAGCCUUGUGGAAGCAGAACUGAGAAAUGUUUUCUACCGUUCUUUCAUCCCUUUCCUGGUUCCUUCUCAAAUAUCAUUUGCCCAGGGCAUCUGUAGACUUGAUGGAAAAGGAAUUCUCAGUACGAGUGACCAUGUAAGUGUGUUUGGUGUGGCUCCAGUAACUCAUGAGCCGCAUCUGUUUCAGGGAAUAAGGUUUCAUUCAUAGGUCACUUUUUGUAGUUCCAUUUUGAUCUUAUUCACAUCUUCUUAUAUGUUUUGUUUGAUGAAAACUGUGCCCAAGCCAGUGGAGACUUAAAACUGAUGUUGUUCAGACCUGGUUCUACUGACUUGUCUCUCCCAAUAGUGCUGUACACGGUUGGUUGGCUACCACCGUUUAGUGGCAGUGAUGAUGGCCUUGGUAGUGGUGGCUAUAGGUUUCUUGUGGAGACCGGAAGCAGAGAGUUGGAAAUGCAUUAUUGGGUGACGCUUUAUUUUUAAAAGUAGCUGAAAUACGUUUUUGUUUUCAAGGUGCCUGAGACCAAAAGAAAUGUCCCUAGCAUCAAAUCCCAUAUACAUGCAAAGAAAUCCUGUUAAUGCUUUUUGGACACAGCAGGAUUUAAGGGGAUGUGGAUGCCUGGACAAUGAAACCAAAGAUGGAAGUCUGCCCUCUGAAAUGGCCUAUGAAAGAAUGACACUCCAGUAGUGAUGACCACAUCUAAUUCCUACCAGAAGGAACUAGGACUUCUUGGAGAAAUAGGCGAUCGUCAGUCUGGAGCAG